UUUGACCUCGGAUCAGGUAGGGAUACCCGCUGA
rnacentral:rRNA from 1 species